rnacentral:misc_RNA from 1 species
AUAUGAUAUUGCCACUCUUACGCUCUUAUCAUCAGGCACUUCUAAAACUCGUAUCUAACUAACACCUCCGAUCUCGCUCCCGGUCUCAACAGAAUCGAACCCAGCAACAGUGUCUCACCAACAGUGUCUCACCAACACGGUACGAGACAUGUCUUCGGUGCUGGAGCGGUUUUCAGUUGCGCAAAAGUGAGACAGAGCGGCUGUCGUUUGGCGUUUAGGCCGUAAGAUUGUUGAUACUCUGGAAAUCUCUCGGUGAAGGCCAUGGAAGUAUGGCAGUAUGAGUAAUACGAGGAAAGAGUACGAAACGAGCUACAAUUACCGGUAGAGAUACCAUACAAUCCAAUAACGGAAGCCCCAGGGAUCAUUCUGACGUUUGAAAAGCGUCGCCUAUCUUCUAUUUGGGUGGCAAACUCCAGAAGUAGGAAUAUGUGAAACUGGGAGGUG